GACGAACGCUGGCGGCGUGCCUAACACAUGCAAGUCGAACGGAAAGGCCCUGCUUUUGUGGGGUGCUCGAGUGCCGAACGCGUGAGUAUCACGCGAGUAACCUGCCCUUGUCUUUGGGGUAACUUCAGGAAACUGGGGUUAAUAUCGGACAGGAGCUCCUGCUGCACGGUGGGGGUGGGAAAGUUUCGCCGGUUGGGGAUGGACGCGCGGCUCAUCGGCUUGUUGGUGGGGUAGUGGCUUACCAAGGCUUUGACGGGUAGCCGGCCUGAGAGGGUGACCGGCCACAUUGGGACUGAGGUACGGCCCAGAGUCCUACGGGGGGCAGCGGUGGAAGACAUUGCACACUAGGCGGAAGCCUGAUACAGCGACGCCGGGUGCGGGAAGACGGCCUGCAGGGUGUAAACCGCUUUCGCCUGUGAAGCAGCGUGAGUGACGGUAAUGGGUAAAGAAGCACCGGCUAACUACGUG
rnacentral:rRNA from 1 species